rnacentral:rRNA from 1 species
GGGAAACCUGAGCUAAUACCGCAUAUGCCCGUUCGGGGUGAAAGUCUUCGGACGCCAGAGGAUCGGCCUGCGGCCCAUUAUUUAAUCCUUGUUGGUGGGGUAACGGCCUACCAAGGGUACGAUGGGUAGCUGGUCUGAGAGGAUGAUCAGCCACACUGGGACUGAGACACGGCCCAGACUCCUACGGGAGGCAGCAGUGGGGAAUAUUGGACAAUGGGGGAAACCCUGAUCCAGCUACGCCGCGUGGGUGAUGAAGGCCUUCGGGUUGUAAAGCCCUGUCGAGGGGGACGAAGUUCUGACGGUACCCCUCAAGAAAGCACCGGCUAACUCCGUG